rnacentral:misc_RNA from 1 species
GAAAUGCGAUAAGUAAUGUGAAUUGCAGAAUUCCGUGAAUCAUCGAAUCUUUGAACGCACAUUGCGCCCUCUGGUAUUCCGGGGGGCAUGCCUGUCCGAGCGUCAUUGCGAACCCCUCAAGCAUGGCUUGUGUGAUGGGCCCUCCCGCGUCUUGGUCGUCAAGACGGGCCCGAAAUGCAGUGGCGGCUUCGCGGUUAUCCGAUCAGCCAGAGCGUAUGGGGACUUUCUCUCUGUCACACGCCCGCGGCGCGGACCGACGCCUGUCGACCUCCAUUCAUCGUUUUCUCGGUUGACCUCGGAUCAGGUAGGGAUACCCGCUGAACUUAAGC